GGCUAAUCAUAGUGCCGUGGUGUUUACAACUAAUUGAUUGCAACUAGUUACAGAUUUGUUUCUUCUCCACUCACUCCUGCUGCUUCACUUGACUAGUCUUAA
ensembl:Y_RNA Y_RNA Y RNA